CAAACCGGCGUGCAUUAGGCAUGCAGUCGAACGAUAUCCUGGGCAUCCAAGUAGCAAUAUGAGGAUGUCCUGGUGACAGUGGCGAAAGGGUGAGUAACGCGCGGGUAAUCUGCCCUCAAGUUGGGAAUAGCUCUGCGAAAGUGGAAUUAAUACCGAAUGUGGUCGUCCUUCACAUGAAGGAUUAUCCAAAGCCGGGGACUGUAAGGCCUGGCGCUUGAGGUUGAGCCCACGUACUAUCAGCUUGUUGGUGAGGUGAUGGCUCACCAAGGCUAUGACGGUUAGCUGGUCUGAGAGGAUGGUCAGCCACACUGGGACUGAGACACUGCCCAGACUCCUACGGGAGGCCGCAGUCGAGGAUCAUUCGCAAUGCGCAAAAGCGUGACGGUGCGACGCCGCGUGCAGGAUGAAGGCCUUCGGGUCGUAAACUGCUGUCGUGAGGGAACAAUGCCCGCGAUGUUAAUACCAUUGCGGGGUGAUAGUACCUCAAGAGGAAGCCACGGCUAACUCUGUGCCAGCAGCCGCGGUAAUACAGAGGUGGCAAGCGUUGUUCGGAUUUACUGGGCGUAAAGGGUGCGUAGGCGGUUCUGUAUGUCGGAUGUGAAAUCUCACAGCUCAACUGUGGAAUUGCAUUUGAAACUACAGGGCUGGAGUACAGGAGAGGAGAGCGGAAUUCUCGGUGUAGCGGUGAAAUGCGUAGAUAUCGAGAGGAACACCGGUGGCGAAGGCGGCUCUCUGGACUGAUACUGACGCUGAGGCACGAAAGCUGGGGGAGCAAACAGGAUUAGAUACCCUGGUAGUCCCAGCCCUAAACGGUGUGCACUUGGUGUGGGAGGGAUUGUCCCUUCCCGCGCCGGAGCUAACGCGUUAAGUGCACCGCCUGGGGAGUACGGUCGCAAGAUUAAAACUCAAAGGAAUUGACGG
rnacentral:rRNA from 1 species